ACUGAUAUGUCACUGAUUUUUGCCCUUGUCCUUAAAUCCUCAACCUUUCUUGGCUUUUCACUUGGCUUCAUAGCAUAUUGCUUUUUCUUUGAUAAACAACAUAUCCAUAACAAUUUAGUGUAAAUUUAGUUUAUUACUUGAUUUUAGUAAACUUCAACCAAAGUGAUUAAGCGCAGGUGGUGCUUAAUGAACUCCAGUUAAAGACGAAUUGUUCAGAAGAAUCAGAAUUUGAAUUCUGACUAGAACAAUAUAUUUAGUCAGACUUUACUUGUCUCGUAGUUGAAUUUCAUAUUACCACCAACCCUUCUCCCACACCAGAAUAGUUAAAACCAAAAAGAAGUGUCGCAACUCGCAACUAAGAUCACCACGUGAGGAGGUGUGUAAUAGCAUUACAUCUACCUUGUUUACAUGAUUGUUUACACAAAAAAGUACAUUGACAAAUCUUUCUUACCAAUCUUAGUU
rnacentral:lncRNA from 1 species